UACACUCCUACGGGAGGCAGCAGUGGGGAAUUUUGGACAAUGGGCGAAAGCCUGAUCCAGCAAUGCCGCGUGUGUGAAGAAGGCCUUCGGGUUGUAAAGCACUUUUGUCCGGAAAGAAAUCCUUGGCUCUAAUACAGUCGGGGGAUGACGGUACCGGAAGAAUAAGCACCGGCUAACUACGUGCCAGCAGCCGCGGUAAUACGUAGGGUGCGAGCGUUAAUCGGAAUUACUGGGCGUAAAGCGUGCGCAGGCGGUUUGCUAAGACCGAUGUGAAAUCCCCGGGCUCAACCUGGGAACUGCAUUGGUGACUGGCAGGCUAGAGUAUGGCAGAGGGGGGUAGAAUUCCACGUGUAGCAGUGAAAUGCGUAGAGAUGUGGAGGAAUACCGAUGGCGAAGGCAGCCCCCUGGGCCAAUACUGACGCUCAUGCACGAAAGCGUGGGGAGCAAACAGGAUUAGAAACCCUAGUAGUCCCA
rnacentral:rRNA from 1 species